rnacentral:rRNA from 1 species
GAUGAACGCUGGCGGCGUGCCUAAUACAUGCAAGUCGAGCGAACAGAUAAGGAGCUUGCUCCUUUGACGUUAGCGGCGGACGGGUGAGUAACACGUGGAUAACCUACCUAUAAGACUGGGAUAACUUCGGGAAACCGGAGCUAAUACCGGAUAACAUAUUGAACCGCAUGGUUCAAUAGUGAAAGGCGGCUUUGCUGUCACUUAUAGAUGGAUCCGCGCCGUAUUAGCUAGUUGGUAAGGUAACGGCUUACCAAGGCAACGAUACGUAGCCGACCUGAGAGGGUGAUCGGCCACACUGGAACUGAGACACGGUCCAGACUCCUACGGGAGGCAGCAGUAGGGAAUCUUCCGCAAUGGGCGAAAGCCUGACGGAGCAACGCCGCGUGAGUGAUGAAGGUCUUCGGAUCGUAAAACUCUGUUAUCGGGGAAGAACAAAUGUGUAAGUAACUGUGCACAUCUUGACGGUACCUGAUCAGAAAGCCACGGCUAACUACGUG